AGAGCGGGAUGCAGCCAAGGAUGAAUUGCCGGCCGCCGCCGCCGCCACGCACCGGUGCCCGCAACACUGCUCGCAUCCAUCCAUCCACGCCGGCAAGUCUAUCCAUGGCUACAUCUAGCUCUCU
rnacentral:pre_miRNA from 2 species